UGAAAGCAGGUACUUUGCUUGCAGGGAUUUCGAUCUCUGCACCAGUUUGUGGGUUACGUCCUUUACGAGCUGAACGCUCACGUACUUCAAAGUUACCAAAACCAAUAAGUUGGAUUUUGUCACCAUUUUUAAGUGCAUCUAAAAUUGU
rnacentral:misc_RNA from 1 species